UUUUGAGAAAAAAGUUAUUUAUUUUAUUAAAUCAAUCUGUUAAUAAUAUCUGAAUUUAGAUGGAAAUCUAGAUGCUAUCUAUUUUCCUUUGACGUCUAUAUUUUAUUUGGCCGUGUAGAAACAAUGUAUUGUGACGGUAAUCUUGUCCUCUUGCUGACUAUCAGUCCUGGCACGUCAACAACGUGCUUAUUAUCAUUUGUCACCUUCAUUGUCCCCUUCGGCACAAUUGUUACAUCAUCCUUACCCGUGACAUCAUUUUUCAAGUCUGGGGUCCUCUCCGCCACCAUCUCCGGCACUGAAACCUUCGCCUCCCCACACUAGGACAUGCCCCUCCUUCGUCACCAUUGGGAGCAUCUCUUUCAUCUUGGGGACCUCGACCACCUCCGUCACCAUCGAGGCCAACCGCUCCAUGUCUAUGGACAUGCAUCCCAUGGUCACUAGGACCUCUACCUCUUUCAUCAUCGACAACAUAGAUUCAAAAAUGCAUUGAAGGCAAUAUUCGAUGUCCACGACUAAAUGUCAUACCUUGUGUGAUGAGCGGGGUCAUACCCGCUAUCUCAAGGACCACCAAUCCCUCUAUCAAUAGCAUCGCUAGUCCCUCCGGUACUCCCUCCAUCAUACCCACAGUAUAAACCUCCUGCAUCGCCUCAAAGUGCUACGAUCUCAGUAUGAAGGUCUCCUAUAUCCUAUCGCAGCAUUCCUAUCCCCAUCAUGAAAUCAUGUAUAAACUCCUAUCACAUUGUUCUUUCUCUCUAAUAAAACCAAUCGAAUGUGCAAAGAAAUCAUUGAAAUAAUAAGUCAGACUGGGUGUAGGUGAUCCACGUGUCCCAACUUCAACUUGUCCAACAUGUGAUCGCAUUUCCUGAUCUAACGUGGGGUGUAACAGGCCCUUUAUCUCCAAAAUAUAAAUCAAGCAACCUUUUAUUUGCCAUAGUCACUAUUUCUUUUCCAUCAUACGUCAAGCCCGUAAUGGGAAAAAUUAAAGAAUUGAGAAUCUCGACACUUUCUCGUCCCCCAUGACAAAAUGCAGCUCAUUGCCGUCUACUGGUUAAGCAAUUGAAGUAAUAUAAAAUCAAUGAUCUGACCUGAAAACUAUAUGUCCUUCAACGUAUAGAAGGACCAUAGGAAUGAUCGGUGGAGUAUGGCAAUGUGCUCCUCAUCGACCCCCUCCAGUACUUUCACGUAACUCAAAAAGUUACUAUAUGACAUAACUUUCCCAAAUGAGCUAUCAUACUAUUGUCCAGUGGUACUCCUUGUAAAAAUAAUACACGAUAAAAUUAUAUACAAGAGAUUGUGAACUAAAACAUAAUCUCGUAAAAUUUAACCAAUCAUAUCACAUGUUGUUGUAUACAAGAAAUAAAUUCAUUUCGUCACAUAUUAAAAAAGACAAAAAUUAAAUUAAGGAAAAAAAUUUAGAAAAUGCAAAAAAAUGAAAAUGAA
rnacentral:lncRNA from 1 species